AGUGAACGCUGGCGGUAGGCCUAACGCAUGCAAGUCGAACGGCAGCACAGUAAGAGCUUGCUCUUACGGGUGGCGAGUGGCGGACGGGUGAGGAAUACAUCGGAAUCUACUUUUUCGAGGGGGAUAACGUAGGGAAACUUACGCUAAUACCGCAGACGACCUACGGGUGAAAGCAGGGGAUCUUAGGACCUUGCGUGAUUGAAUGAGCCGAUGUCGGAUUAGCUAGUUGGCGGGGUAAAGGCCCACCAAGGCGACGAUCCGUAGCUGGUCUGAGAGGAUGAUCAGCCACACUGGAACUGAGACACGGUCCAGACUCCUACGGGAGGCAGCAGUGGGGAAUAUUGGACAAUGGGCGCAAGCCUGAUCCAGCCAUACCGCGUGUGUGAAGAAGGCCUUCGGGUUGUAAAGCCCUUUUGUUGGGAAAGAAAAGCAGCAGGUUAAUACCCCGCUGUUCUGACGUUACCCACAGAAUAAGCACCGGCUAACUUCGUG
rnacentral:rRNA from 1 species